rnacentral:piRNA from 1 species
UUUUUUCAUUCGGAGAUAUUG